CCCUCGCCGAGACGCAGGGGCAGUGGGAGAGCUGCAGAAAGGAGCUGGACACGGUGAAGAGCAGCGUCUCGGAGCUGACACGGCGUUUAGCCCAGCUGCAGCACCACGGGGAUGAGCAGGAGGCCAACGUGGGGCGGCUGCAAGAGGACAACAGGGAGAUCAAGGAGAAGCUGGAACAGCAGCGGCAGCAGCUGGAGGAGGCGCAGAAGGACAGGAGAGAUCUCCAGUCACAGAUCUGGGACGCUUUGGCAAGGAUCGGGUCCGGACAGAGCUGGCAUUCGAGUGGCACCAGCGCGACGUUCCCCGGCGUGGCCGUGCCCCUCGUCCUCCUGGCUCUGCUCUUGGCCAGGCUGGAGGCCAACGCCACGGCGCUGCGGGACGAGGCGCUGGCGCUGCGGCGCGAGCGGGCUGAGCUGGCCCGCAGGAACGCGGCUCUGCAAGGUGUGUCCGUCUGUCCGUCCCCUGGGACCCCACCCCGGGGUGCUGACCUGGCCACCCACCCCCUGGGGACGAUGCCCAGCCGGGUGGCUCAGGUUUUGGGGUGCCCCUUUCGCCCCGCAGAGGAGCUGGCGCAGGGCACGGAGGAGGCGAAGGAGCUGCGGCGGCGGCUGGAGGAGGCGGAGGAGCAGUGGCGAACGCUGCGGGCACGCGGGGAGAAGUGUGAGGCUCGGCAGAAAGAGCUCGAGAAAAACCUGUGAGGGUCCCAUCCCUUUGCCGUGCCCCCCCCUGGGUGCCCCCCCAAGGCUGCGGUGCCCCCUGACACGGCUCUGCUCUGCCCGCAGGAGGGACUACGCGGCCGAGGUGGAGGCGCAGCAACGGCGGAGAGUGGGGUCCCGCACGGCCAGGCGCAGGUGCCCCCCUUCCCGGUACAUUUCUUGGGGGCUGCCCUGCUGUUUUGUGGGGUCGGGGGCUGGGCACCUUGGGGAGGGGGCUUCUCCAGCACAACCCUUCGUGGGCACAGCUCUGCAGGUGCCGUCGCGCCCCUUUUGUCACCGGUGUCCCCGCUCACUCGAGGCUGUCCCCUCUCUUGCAGGAAAGGCUGAAGCCCCGCAGCAUCCUUCCUGCCCCCCCAUCCC
rnacentral:lncRNA from 1 species